rnacentral:tRNA from 1 species
UGUUCUGUGGCUUAGUUGGUAAAAGCGCCGGACUAGCGAUUCGGAGUCGUAGGUUCGAGUCCCUCCAAAACAA